GAUGUCUGCUCUCCCACCAGAAAUCCUCCUUGAGUUUGAGAAAGGCAACUUCGUGGUAAAACGCAGUGAUCGACGCUUCAAUCAGGUUUCAGCGGAUCAAAGUACAGAGUGGCUAAAUGCUACAGGAAAAAGAGUGGAGGCCUAGUAGGUAUCACCAGGAUACCAACAUCCCUCAGUAGAUGGACACUGUCGUAUAAUCUGAGAACAGUCAUAGCUUCUCAGACAACAGCGAUGCUGAGACUGACAACAGAUGAUGAAGACAAUGAGUACACACACACAGAGUGCACAAAGAGUAGAAUGGAAAGAGAUGAUGUGGAUGAAAGCAGAAUAUGUCUAUCAUUAAAAGAGCACGGUGUGUUUCAAGAUGGUGGGGACACACUCAAGAACAUAAUCAACAAGGACGUGGUCACACCCCAGAUUCAACAAUCUCUGCUUGGUGCAGAACAGCUUGGACAGGCACAAAUGAAAGUGUUUGUGGACAAACGUCUGUGUGAACCUCCAGAUAGUGACCAGCACUUGGAUCUGAAGUCACCCAUUCGAAAGAACAAAGCCAAAACAUUUGCCUCUUUGUAUGAAGUCGUGCAACUUUCCAAGAACAAGCAAAACAUCAUCAAAGUGGACAGGCAGAUUCUACAAAGGCUCAUCACAGCUUACAGAGCAGGUCGCAAGGUAGACCUGGAAAAUAUUCUCCAGCAUGAACUCAUGCCCAUCCCGCCAUCUCUGGCCGCAACUAACGGCAGUCUACAUUCCACCAAUAAAUCUGUUUUAGCAAAUAUACUGACAAAACAUAUCCAAACCACUGCAGAUGUGCCCCUUCAGGAACCCAGCUGCUUUCUUAUUGAUGGCCAAGCACUUGUAAUGGCACUUGGGAAGCCGCCUGACAUCACAACAUUAGGCAACUAUGCCAACAAGUUUGCUGACACAGUGAUGAAGAUGGCAGAGAAGUACCAGAGGGUUGAUGUAGUCUUCGACAGGUACCAUGACGAAUCCAUCAAAACAGGCACAAGAAAGAAGCGUAAACAGCGCCACCGACCAGUACGCAGAGAGAUCGUGAAUGACUCUGUUCCACUUCCAGCAGACUGGUCGAGCUUCAUGGCACUGGAAGAAAACAAAGCAGAUCUCGCUCGACUACUCUCAAACCAUCUGAUAGAACACAGCCCAGAAUAUGAGCCAGUCGUUGUAGUAUCAGGUGGGUUUGCUGAAGCGACCACUGUCAAGUCAUCAGAUCCAGAACUUGAAAUCUCCUCUCUGAGUGCUGACCAUGAGGAGGCUGAUACACGACUGAUUUUGCACUGCAUCCAGGCUCCUAUGGACACAAUAGUUGUGUCAGCGCGUGACACAGCCGUGCUUCUUCUACUUCUAGCACAUCAUGACAGAAUUGGAUGUACCCAUCUCUACAUGAAAGCCGGGACAUCAAAGUAUCCAGAGUAUUUUCCAGUACAUGACAUUCGCAAGUUACUCUCUGAUGAUCAAGUGGACACACUGCUUGCCUUCCAUGCCAUCACUGGCUGUGAUAGUGUGUCUCAGUUCAGCGGUCACGGAAAGAAAACAGCCUGGCAGGUGUUCGAGCAACAUCACACUGAUCUUACUGGCCUUGGGAAGGGCCCUCUCACAGAAGAUAUUGUAAAUUCAACAGAGAAAUUCAUCUGUAAGAUGUAUGGUGUGCCUGAGGUUGAUACAUGCAACAAAGCAAGAGUGAAGUUGUUUUGCAAAGGUUGUCCACAAGAGACUCUGCCUCCAACCUCAGAUGCAGUGAAGUUUCAUAUCAUGCGUUCACACUAUCAAGCGACAAUCUGGAACCAAGCUCACCUGCCACAUCCUGAUCUUCCUCCAGUGGAUGAAAUGGGAUGGAUACACAAGGAAGGUCAAUUAGUGCCACGGCUAAUGUCUCUGCCACCUAUGCCUAAAGCCUGCAGGGAGUUCACUUCAUGUGGGUGUACCAAGGGAUGCCUCAGCCAACGCUGCAGCUGCAGAAAGAGUCGCAUGGAAUGUAUAGACGCAUGCAACUGCAGGAAACUUGACAACACUUGCCAGAACAUUGAAGAGGACUGUGAAUAAGCUGUCACUGUAACUUCUACUGGGAUAUAGUUCAAUGAAUAUCACCAUGAGCCAUGGAUCUUCCUGCUUUUGGAUCUUAUUUGAUUGACAACUUCUUUAUCACUAAUGACCACCUUUUUCUCUAUACAUGUGUGAUUUUCAAGCUGAUUAUUGACACUUGAUCUAAAUCAGGACAGGAUGUUAAAUUCCCCAUGUGUGAAAACCUGUGAACAUUUAAUUAAAGUUUGUAUCUUUUUGUAUUUGUUUGUACAUUUGACCUCAAAACAAAAUACAAAAAAAGUAAAUGUAGCCUGAUAAUAUCAACAAUAAUAGUAAUAAUAUUAAUAAUAAUAACUUAAAUAUUAAUUAGUUAAUAAUAGUUCAUAGUUAAAAACAACUAUUUUUGCAAUAUCUAAGCAGUUUCUUCACAUUACAUCUCAAAUCUGAAUAUGGCAUUGAAUUGCCCAUGUAGGAAAACUUACAAAAGCACAUUUAAUUCAUGUUUGUACCUUGUUUAGUCAAAAAGAUAUACUGAAAAAUAGAUUUCAGCCUGGCGGUGGUGGCCAUUUUGAAUUUCUCAAUUUUGAGGCAUUUUGGGACAUUUUUGAGCUUCAUAUACAGCAGAUUUGGAUUCAGCACCCCUUAAUACCCGUAGAAAUGUUGUAUAAUAUAAAUAAUCACAAAAUGCCUUCGGGGUUCUGAUUUUGUGAAAAUUGACCCUGUCU
ensembl:lncRNA